rnacentral:tRNA from 1 species
CCUCAUGGCUCAGUUGGUAAGUCAUCUGCCUGCAAUGCAGGAGGCCCAGGUUCAAUUCCUGGGUUGAGAA